CCCAGACGACGCUUCUUAUCGUGGCAUUAGGGUGAGGGCUUCUACUUCGCGAUUCCCUCUUUCUGUGAUCACACCACAAACCCUAACCCUAGUGACGAGCCAUGUCGUCCAAAGCCGGGGGAAAGCUGAAGCCUUUGAAGCAACCCAAGGCCGACAAGAAAGAAUACGACGAGGAUGAUCUGGCCAAACUUCAAAAGAAAAAAGAGGAGGAAAAGGCACUGAAGGAGCUUAAGGCCAAGGCUGCACAAAAGGGCGCAUUUGGAGGUUCUGGACUCAAGAAGAGUGGGAAGAAAUGAAAACCUGAGUCAUAAUGCAAUAUCUACUUAAUAUAUGCAUAUGUGGUGAAUAUCCUUCGGUGGAUGCAAUUGGUCUCUAUCGAGAUGCUACAUUAACUUCUGAACAUUUUCUUAUCCCCAGUAAAACUGAGUUGCAUUGUCAUGUUCUAGAUAUGUUACUAGUAAUUGAUGCCGCUUGAAUCUGCUUGUGGUUGCUUUGAGAUUGAUCUAUGAUAUAUCAAGUGUUGUUGAUGUGGUGAUGACCACUUUUACUUCA